UACAGAGGGGGCAAGCGUUGUUCGGAAUUACUGGGCGUAAAGGGCGCGUAGGCGGCCUUCUAAGUCGGACGUGAAAUCCCUCGGCUUAACCGAGGAACUGCGUCCGAUACUGAAAGGCUUGAAUCCGGGAGAGGGAUGUGGAAUUCCAGGUGUAGCGGUGAAAUGCGUAGAUAUCUGGAGGAACACCGGUGGCGAAGGCGGCAUCCUGGACCGGCAUUGACGCUGAGGCGCGAAAGCGUGGGGAGCAAACAGG
rnacentral:rRNA from 1 species